rnacentral:lncRNA from 1 species
GGGAAGGCUCAGAAGGCUAGAACAGUAAUAAAAAGGUCAACCUGAGACUGAAAGAAAUGUGAGGGAUGUCAUGUAUAGGAAUAAUACACACAUUAUAGAAAUCUUGCAGAGUGAAGACAAAGUAAAGGGAUCGUUAAGAUAAUUUAAUGAUGACUAAAACCUUUGCAUCCUGGGAAAUGAAAUGGUUGCUCAGUUUGCCAAAGCCCAAAGCAUUCCAAAAGAUUAGUCAGCAUUUUUGGGUGACCGCUAAGGCUGGCAUGGUAGCUCUGUGCUACUCUGAACCUUGCUUCCAAGGUCACGUUUUCUUUUCCUUUUAUUCCCUAGGAUCUAUGUGAGUUAAUUGGCCUCAGAAAGACAUUGAAGCAUGAUUUUAUCUUCACCACAUCUGCUCAGCAUGCUUCAUUGUAGUCUGACCCUAUGACCCCACUUGAGCAGAGUCUCCUUACUCAGCCUCCUAAUCAAGUGAUUAGUGGGAGACUGCCUAUGCUUGGAUCUACCUCAGAACUUCAGAAUCCUGUAGCUGGGAUUGGAACCGCUUCUGUCGAGAAAGACAACAGCUCUGUCAAGCAGCAAAUUUGUUCACUCAGGCUUGGCAUUUCUACCUCUCAUUGAUGAAUUGGGCUCCACAAUACGGGGUGCAUAGCAAAUCCCUUGACUUAGAGACAGGCUGAGGAUGCGUCACACAUUAGGAGGAAAUGAGUAAGAAGGAAGAAGGAACAUCUGGACUAGCCAGGAAAAUGAACUGUCAUCAUUACAAUUUGGAUGCUAUGUCCACAGCCAAGACUGGUGUUACUGGCCCCAUCCUUGUGCUUGUUGGAUAUGGAUCUCAAAACUGCAAAGGUAACUUGCCCAUUUGUACAGAUCUCAUAAUUUCACACGGAAGAGCAAAACUUAAGUAUGAUAAAGUCAGAGAGUUGUUAUGUAGCCAAAUCAUCUAAUCUAGAUUUAGUGUGUGUGUGUGUGUGUGUGUGUGUGUAAGGGGAGGUCGUGUUUGCUGAUGAUACAAAUUCAAAGCUGAGGUAGGUAUGAGUAGUCGGCCGCUGAAAUGUCAGCUGAUGCAGCGUUGGCCUGAGUCAUAGAACGUGGGAAUGUCAAGCUGGUACUGAUCUGGAAGCAUCAUCUCUACUGCUGUGCUUCACAUCAAUAAAGGAUGCUACAGACACGACUGGAAGGAAAUG